CAACGAUCCAUGUGUGUAACAUUGAAUCGUGUCUCCUUGUUAUAUUUCUGUUGGAUUGGCGCUACAAUUAUCUGUCCUGAUGACAGUUAAACAUUGCAGAGUGAACGAUCACACUGGGAUUGGAAAAGCCAUCUGGAAUUUGAUCACAGGAAACAUGGUGAAGGAGAAAGCUUUACCGGGGUGGAAAUGUUGCCAGCAUAUGCUAGGAUGCACAAAGAAAGAAUUCAUUCUGCUCUUGGUUGUUCACCAUACAAGGCCAUGCUGGGCUGCCCUCCAGUACACUUCAAGAAUUUGUUGAGAGCUGGGAAUACAGUUGAUGCAAGCUCUUGCUCUGAAGAAGAUGGGCCGUGCGAACUAUCUGCAGGGAGUGAUGAGGAAAGGGAGAACAACAGGCUCAAAACAAGAGGAGAGACAAUACAGAAACAAAAGGACACAAGAAGACUCCAACUAUGAAAGAACUGGAGAUGGAGGCCUCAUUCUAUGACCUUGAGAUUGUGGACAAUGAAGGGGCUGGUAACUGCAUGUUUAUUGCAUUGGCUCAACAGCUUCAACAACAUGACAUUGACAUAAUCUGCCAUAAACAUCUGCGAGAAAAGGAUGUGCAAUAUGUGCAGAGCUGCCAUAGAUUACCGGAUGUAUGUUGGGGUUGAGGAAGCAAUAAUUCUCAUUCUGAUGGAUGUGCUGAAUAAAACCUACGCAGAAGUCAAUCGCGGGUGUAAAUCAACAGAAGUUGAUGCCAGUCAAGGGGUGUCCACAUCACUGUGGAUGACGAAUAAUGACGGUUUGGUUCACACAGGGAGGAUUAAAAUGCCUCUGUUAUACAGGAUGACUGACUUGCUGGAUGUGUUGUGAUGAUUGUGCUUGCACACUGAUGUCAACAACCACCUCUUUACAAGAGGUAAAAAGAUUAAAGUAAUUUGAUGUAUAUGAA
rnacentral:misc_RNA from 1 species